rnacentral:rRNA from 1 species
UACGGGGGGGGCAAGCGUUGUUCGGAAUUACUGGGCGUAAAGGGCUCGUAGGCGGUCCGUCGCGUCGGGAGUGAAAACUCGGGGCUCAACCCCGAGCCUGCUUUCGAUACGGGCGGACUAGAGGUAGGUAGGGGAGAACGGAAUUCCUGGUGUAGCGGUGGAAUGCGUAGAUAUCUGGAGGAAUACCGGUGGCGAAGGCGGCAUCCUGGACCGGCAUUGACGCUGAGGAGCGAAAGCCAGGGGAGCAAACGGG